UUAAGUUGUUAUACUCAAUCAUAC
rnacentral:siRNA from 1 species